CACGUAGGGCGCAAGCGUUGUCCGGAAUUGUUGGGCGUAAAGAGCUCGUAGGCGGUGUGUCGCGUCGGCCGUGAAAACCUGCAGCUUAACUGUGGGCUUGCGGUCGAUACGGGCAUCACUGGAGUUCGGCAGGGGAGACUGGAAUUCCUGGUGUAGCGGUGAAAUGCGCAGAUAUCAGGAGGAACACCGGUGGCGAAGGCGGGUCUCUGGGCCGAUACUGACGCUGAGGAGCGAAAGCGUGGGGAGCGAACAGG
rnacentral:rRNA from 1 species